rnacentral:rRNA from 1 species
CUGUACGGAGGGUUUGAUCCUGGCUCAGGAUGAACGCUGGCGGCGUGCCUAACACAUGCAAGUCGAACGGGCUGGCGCUUAGCGGAAGCCUGCCGGAGGUGGUGAUCACGAGAAAUCGUGAAAGCCGCUGAUGGCAGGUGGAGGCUAUUAGCCGGCCAGUGGCGAACGGGUGCGUAACACGUGGGUGACCUGCCCCAAAGUGGGGGAUAACUAUCCGAAAGGAUAGCUAAUACCGCAUGUGGUUCCACAUUCGUUUGUGGAACUAAAGGAGCAAUCCGCUUUGGGAGGGGCCCGCGGCCCAUCAGCUAGUUGGUAGGGUAAUGGCCUACCAAGGCGAUGACGGGUAGCUGGUCUGAGAGGACGAUCAGCCACACUGGCACUGAG